GAUGAACGCUGGCGGCGUGCCUAAUACAUGCAAGUCGAGCGAACGGACGAGAAGCUUGCUUCUCUGAUGUUAGCGGCGGACGGGUGAGUAACACGUGGAUAACCUACCUAUAAGACUGGGAUAACUUCGGGAAACCGGAGCUAAUACCGGAUAAUAUUUUGAACCGCAUGGUUCAAAAGUGAAAGACGGUCUUGCUGUCACCUAUAGAUGGAUCCGCGCUGCAUUAGCUAGUUGGUAAGGUAACGGCUUACCAAGGCAACGAUGCAUAGCCGACCUGAGAGGGUGAUCGGCCACACUGGAACUGAGACACGGUCCAGACUCCUACGGGAGGCAGCAGUAGGGAAUCUUCCGCAAUGGGCGAAAGCCUGACGGAGCAACGCCGCGUGAGUGAUGAAGGUCUUCGGAUCGUAAAACUCUGUUAUUAGGGAAGAACAUAUGUGUAAGUAACUGUGCACAUCUUGACGGUACCUAAUCAGAAAGCCACGACUAACUACGUG
rnacentral:rRNA from 1 species